rnacentral:rRNA from 1 species
UACGAAGGGGGGCUAGCGUUGUUCGGAAUUACUGGGCGUAAAGCGCGCGUAGGCGGCUUUGUAAGUUAGAGGUGAAAGCCCGGAGCUCAACUCCGGAACUGCCUUUAAGACUGCAUCGCUAGAAUUGUGGAGAGGUAAGUGGAAUUCCGAGUGUAGAGGUGAAAUUCGUAGAUAUUCGGAAGAACACCAGUGGCGAAGGCGACUUACUGGACACAUAUUGACGCUGAGGCACGAAAGCGUGGGGAGCAAACAGG